rnacentral:rRNA from 1 species
ACGCUGGGGACGCGAGCGGCGGAUGGGUGAGUAACACGUGGGGAACCUGCCCCAUAGUCUGGGAUACCACUUGGAAACAGGUGCUAAUACCGGAUAAGAAAGCAGAUCGCAUGAUCAGCUUAUAAAAGGCGGCGUAAGCUGUCGCUAUGGGAUGGCCCCGCGGUGCAUUAGCUAGUUGGUAAGGUAACGGCUUACCAAGGCAAUGAUGCAUAGCCGAGUUGAGAGACUGAUCGGCCACAUUGGGACUGAGACACGGCCCAAACUCCUACGGGAGGCAGCAGUAGGGAAUCUUCCACAAUGGACGCAAGUCUGAUGGAGCAACGCCGCGUGAGUGAAGAAGGUUUUCGGAUCGUAAAGCUCUGUUGUUGGUGAAGAAGGAUAGAGGUAGUAACUGGCCUUUAUUUGACGGUAAUCAACCAGAAAGUCACGGCUAACUACGUGCCAGCAGCCGCGGUAAUACGUAGGUGGCAAGCGUUGUCCGGAUUUAUUGGGCGUAAAGCGAGCGCAGGCGGAAGAAUAAGUCUGAUGUGAAAGCCCUCGGCUUAACCGAGGAACUGCAUCGGAAACUGUUUUUCUUGAGUGCAGAAGAGGAGAGUGGAAUUCCAUGUGUAGCGGUGGAAUGCGUAGAUAUAUGGAAGAACACCAGUGGCGAAGGCGACUCUCUGGUCUGCAACUGACGCUGAGGCUCGAAAGCAUGGGUAGCGAACAGGAUUAGAUACCCUGGUAGUCCAUGCCGUAAACGAUGAGUGCUAAGUGUUGGGAGGUUUCCGCCUCUCAGUGCUGCAGCUAACGCAUUAAGCACUCCGCCUGGGGAGUACGACCGCAAGGUUGAAACUCAAAGGAAUUGACGGGGGCCCGCACAAGCGGUGGAGCAUGUGGUUUAAUUCGAAGCAACGCGAAGAACCUUACCAGGUCUUGACAUCUAGUGCCAUCCUAAGAGAUUAGGAGUUCCCUUCGGGGACGCUAAGACAGGUGGUGCAUGGCUGUCGUCAGCUCGUGUCGUGAGAUGUUGGGUUAAGUCCCGCAACGAGCGCAACCCUUGUUAUUAGUUGCCAGCAUUAAGUUGGGCACUCUAAUGAGACUGCCGGUGAUAAACCGGAGGAAGGUGGGGAUGACGUCAAGUCAUCAUGCCCCUUAUGACCUGGGCUACACACGUGCUACAAUGGACAGUACAACGAGAAGCGAGCCUGCGAAGGCAAGCGAAUCUCUGAAA